rnacentral:rRNA from 1 species
GACGAACGCUGGCGGCGUGCUUAACACAUGCAAGUCGAACGAAGUGGCGAACGGGUGAGUAACGCGUAAUCAACCUGCCCUUCAGAGGGGGACAACAGGUGGAAACGACUGCUAAUACCGCAUACUGAAGGAGGGGCUUGCGUCUGAUUAGCAAGUUGGAGGGGUAACGGCCCACCAAGGCGCUGAUCAGUUGCCGGUCAGGGAGGAGGGACGGCCAACGUGGGACUGGGACACGGCCCCAACCCCUACGGGAGGCAACCAGUGGGAAGCUUCCGCAAUGGACGAAAGUCUGACGAAGCAACGCCGCGGGAGUGAUGACGGCCUUCGGGUUGUAAAGCUCUGUUAAUCGGGACACGGUACCGGAAUAGAAAGCCACGGCUAACUACGUGCCAGCAGCCGCGGUAAUAC